ensembl:snRNA U1 U1 spliceosomal RNA
AUACUUACCUGGCAGGGGAGAUACCAUGCUCACAAAGGUGGUUUUCCUAGGGUGAGGUUUAUCCAUUGUAUGCCACAUGUGCUGACGCCAGCUAUUUCCCCAAAUCUGGGAAACUUGACUGCAUAAUUUGUGGUGUGGGGGACUGCCUUCAUGCUCUCCCCUA